CUAUCGCUUACAGAUGGGCCCGCGGUGCAUUAGCUAGUUGGUAGGGUAAUGGCCUACCAAGGCAACGAUGCAUAGCCGACCUGAGAGGGUGAUCGGCCACACUGGGACUGAGACACGGCCCAGACUCCUACGGGAGGCAGCAGUAGGGAAUCUUCCGCAAUGGACGAAAGUCUGACGGAGCAACGCCGCGUGUAUGAAGAAGGUUUUCGGAUCGUAAAGUACUGUUGUUAGAGAAGAACAAGGAUAAGAGUAACUGCUUGUCCCUUGACGGUAUCUAACCAGAAAGCCACGGCUAACUACGUGCCAGCAGCCGCGGUAAUACGUAGGUGGCAAGCGUUGUCCGGAUUUAUUGGGCGUAAAGCGCGCGCAGGCGGUCUUUUAAGUCUGAUGUGAAAGCCCCCGGCUUAACCGGGGAGGGUC
rnacentral:rRNA from 1 species